AGCAUUGUUCGGAAUUACUGGGCGGAAAGAGCACGUAGGCGGCUUUGUAAGUUAGAGGUGAAAGCCCAGGGCUUAACCCUGGAAUUGCCUUUAAGACUGCAUCGCUAGAAUUGUGGAGAGGUAAGUGGAAUUCCGAGUGUAGAGGUGAAAUUCGUAGAUAUUCGGAAGAACACCAGUGGCGAAGGCGACUUACUGGACACAUAUUGACGCUGAGGUGCGAAAGCGUGGGGAGCAAACAGG
rnacentral:rRNA from 1 species